rnacentral:rRNA from 1 species
GAUGAACGCUGGCGGCGUGCCUAAUACAUGCAAGUCGAGCGAACAGACGAGGAGCUUGCUCCUCUGACGUUAGCGGCGGACGGGUGAGUAACACGUGGAUAACCUACCUAUAAGACUGGGAUAACUUCGGGAAACCGGAGCUAAUACCGGAUAAUAUAUUGAACCGCAUGGUUCAAUAGUGAAAGACGGUUUUGCUGUCACUUAUAGAUGGAUCCGCGCCGCAUUAGCUAGUUGGUAAGGUAACGGCUUACCAAGGCGACGAUGCGUAGCCGACCUGAGAGGGUGAUCGGCCACACUGGGACUGAGACACGGUCCAGACUCCUACGGGAGGCAGCAGUAGGGAAUCUUCCGCAAUGGGCGAAAGCCUGACGGAGCAACGCCGCGUGAGUGAUGAAGGUCUUCGGAUCGUAAAACUCUGUUAUUCGGGAAGAACAAAUGUGUAAGUAACUAUGCACGUCUUGACGGUACCUAAUCAGAAAGCCACGGCUAACUACGUG